rnacentral:misc_RNA from 1 species
UGUUGGGAUAGUAGGCUCCGUGCACUUGCAUCGAACUUCUAGACCACAUCCUCUUCAUGGCUCAAGCAUUAUAUCUUUUGCUUGUCAAUUGAUCGUGUUCCUGUAUUCGAUACCCUUGUUGGAGGUACUAUGCUUCUAUUUUACCCUAGUCCUUUUGGUGCCUUGUAAGGGCAUCGAGUGGAGCAUGUAGCUUGAUCUAACAUACCAGGCUUGUCGAUUUGGUUGCAAUGGUUGUUGGAUCAAAGCUUGUGUUCUCGGAUGCGGACUGUUCAAUGGGUCCAAGGAUUUUAAUCCUUGUAUUAGCCCUAUGUGGGAAAUCGUCCCUCGAUAAGUACGACAUCCCUUGUGCGUUACGAUUUAUCCAAUGCUCGUUGGGGCUGGGAUACUUUGUUCGUGCAUCGGUGUCUGCGAAGGAAUGCUACCUGGUUGAUCCUGCCAGUAGUCAUAUGCUUGUCUCAAAGAUUAAGCCAUGCAUGUGA